rnacentral:rRNA from 1 species
CCUACGGGAGGCAGCAGUGGGGAAUAUUGCACAAUGGGGGAAACCCUGAUGCAGCGACGCCGCGUGAGUGAAGAAGUAAUUCGUUAUGUAAAGCUCUAUCAGCAGGGAAGAAAAUGACGGUACCUGAGUAAGAAGCCCCGGCUAACUACGUGCCAGCAGCCGCGGUACUACGUAGGGGGCAAGCGUUAUCCGGAUUUACUGGGUGUAAAGGGAGCGUAGACGGCAGUGCAAGUCUGGAGUGAAAGGCGGGGGCUCAACCCCCGGACUGCUCUGGAAACUGUACGGCUGGAGUGCAGGAGAGGUAAGUGGAAUUCCAAGUGUAGCGGUGAAAUGCGUAGAUAUUAGGAGGAACACUAGUGGCGAAGGCGGCUUACUGGACUGUAACUGACGUUGAGGCUCGAAAGCGUGGGGAGCAAACAGGAUUAGAUACCCGUGUAGUC